UACGGAGGGUGCAAGCGUUGUCCGGAUUUACUGGGUUUAAAGGGUGCGUAGGCGGCCCCUUAAGUCAGCGGUGAAAGCCCGGGGCUCAACCCCGGAACCGCCGUUGAUACUGGGGGGCUUGAGUACAGACGAGGUAGGCGGAAUUGAAGAUGUAGCGGUGAAAUGCUUGGAUAUCUUCAAGAACACCGAUUGCGUAGGCAGCUUACUAGGCUGUAACUGACGCUGAGGCGCGAAAGCGUGGGGAGCGAACAGG
rnacentral:misc_RNA from 1 species